rnacentral:lncRNA from 1 species
GCCAUGAUGCAUUUCACAAAGACUCAUUCAAGGUAAUGGCUUAUAUAUUGAUUACAUAAUUCAGAGUGUACAUUGCCAAUGCAUUUAUUAAAUAUAAUAUGUACUAAUUCUGUUUUGUUUUGAGUACAAAAAAAAAAAAAAAAAAAAAAAAAAAAAAAAAGAGGUGAUAACGUAAGACUUAAGAGACUAUCUUACCCUCACUAUAUGGGAAUCACUGUCAAAUUAUACAUAUAUCUUCCAAUCAUGAAAGCAAAAGGAGUUUGGAUGCUCUUUUAAAGAUAGAAAAUUAUGCCUUAAUUUACAUCUUAAGUUUUCUAAGCAAUGCCAACAGAUGGGCAAGUUUCUGCUAUAAGGAUUCAUUCAUUGGGUCCGUUUUAUUCUUAUUGUGAGAUUGGUAGAACCCAACAGUUUAUGCAAUGGCUACACAUUGUUUUUUCCUAGAGUUAAAUAUUGAUUCAGAAUUCUGAAGUAUAGAGGACUCAAAUAUGCUGAUUUAUAGAAACAAGAUUAUCAUUAAUUUAGAUCUUGUAAAAAAAUUAGUAAAAUAUUGGUAAAUAAAUAAAUAAGAUUUAAAGCAUUGUGGAUGCAGGAUUUAUUUAAAAUGCUAGACAUGGUCUAGGAAAUUGAAGUAGUUCUCAAGAUUUGAAACUAUCUAUUAUACAGCUCUUUAUAUAAA